rnacentral:rRNA from 1 species
UACGAGGGGGGCAAGCGUUGUUCGGAAUUAUUGGGCGUAAAGCGUGCGUAGGCGGCUGCGCAAGUCGGGUGUGAAACCCCGGGGCUCAACCCCGGAACUGCAUCCGAUACUGCGUGGCUAGAGGUAGGUAGGGGAGAUCGGAAUUCCUGGUGUAGCGGUGAAAUGCGCAGAUAUCAGGAGGAACACCGGUGGCGAAGGCGGAUCUCUGGGCCUUACCUGACGCUCAGGCACGAAAGCUAGGGGAGCGAACAGG